UACGGGGGGGGGCAAGCGUUGUUCGGAAUUACUGGGCGUAAAGGCGUCGUAGGCGGCCAACUAAGUCAGACGUGAAAUCCCUAGGCUCAACCUAGGAACUGCGUCUGAUACUGGAUGGCUUGAAUCCGGGAGAGGGAUGCAGAAUUCCAGGUGUAGCGGUGAAAAUGCGUAGAUAUCUGGAGGAAUACCGGUGGCGAAGGCGGGUCUCUGGGCCGAUACUGACGCUGAGGAGCGAAAGCAUGGGGAGCGAACAGG
rnacentral:rRNA from 1 species